GGUUCAUCAUCCGUUGACUACAGUACAGCCUGCGAAGAACCAAAAGAAGAACAAAUACAAAGGCAGUCAUGCUGGUAUAUUUAAUCGAUAAUUAUUUAUUAUCAAUAAACAUGUGAUUCACAAUUCAGCGUAAAACAUAUCUAAAAAGUAGGCUUUUCGAAAAGGUUGGGGAGACGAAUACACUUGAAACAAUAAAUAAAGCAGGAGCAGGGGAGAGUGUGUCUGGGGGCUGGGGGGGGGGGGACUUUAAAAAGGAUUUGUAGUUCCAUUCCAGGGAUUUAUACAUAUCAUACAACAUCUCUUCGAUAAGGGGUCGACUCAGGUAAAAUAGUGUCAUUCAUGCGUGUGGAGGGGAAAUGGUUUGAUGUCGAGAUAUUGGGAGCUUUAUACAACAAGGCUUUGAAUGACCGAUUUGUCUUCUUUGUUGUGCUGACAUCGAUGAAGAGUUCAGUGAAACCGAGGAUGCAGACAAUGAUUUCGAAAAAGGCAUUGUGUAUGGAUUAUUUGCGUGUGUUCCAACACCAUUUAAUUUCUCCCACAGAAGGGGGGUGAGACAGGGAAACAGAAAGAGAGGCAAGAGAAGAAAUUAAAGGAAAAUUUAGUCAAACGAACUAGAUUAUCGAUAACAAAUCGGAGGGUUACUUGCACGUUUUUCCUGCAAACCCUAAAGAACCCAAGACCACGUGCACGCUCUCAGCCCGUGCACGCUCCCACCACGCGGAUACAUGUAAACGCUUCGGUUGUGUAAUAGUCUUCGGAAUAACCCUCCGCUACCCAUCAAACAGCAUCGCAUAGAUCACGCCUCUAUAGGGUAGAAUGUAUGCGUGUGUGUGUGUGUGUGUGUGUGUGUGUGUGUGUGUGUGUGUGUGUGUGUUGCAGAUGUGUGGGUGAAGUGCAUGUGCAUAUUAACCAAGCUGUGCAUGUAGGAGUUGUUUGUUACCCCCUGAAAAAUGCUAUAAAAAAAAAAAAAAAAACCUAUCUUCAUCUCAUCCUCUCCAGCUCCUCUUCCUCCUCCCCGGGCUGGGGGGCCCACUGCCUUGCUCACU